rnacentral:rRNA from 1 species
UAGGGAAUAUUGCGCAAUGGAGGAAACUCUGACGCAGCGACGCCGCGUGGGUGACGAAGGCUUUCGGGUCGUAAAGCCCUGUCGGUAGGGAAGAAAAACAGGAUGGCUAACAUCCAUUCUGCUUGACGGUACCUGCAAAGGAAGCACCGGCUAACUACGUGCCAGCAGCCGCGGUAAUACGUAGGGUGCUAGCGUUGUUCGGAAUCAUUGGGCGUAAAGCGCGUGUAGGCGGCUAAUUAAGUCGAGUGUGAAAUCCCUAGGCUCAACCUAGGAAGUGCAUCCGAAACUCAUUAGCUGGAAGACGGUAGAGGAAGGUAGAAUUCCUAGUGUAGAGGUGAAAUUCGUAGAUAUUAGGAGGAACACCGGUGGCGAAGGCGGCCUUCUGGACCGUUCUUGACGCUGAGACGCGAAAGCGUGGGGAGCAAACAG